rnacentral:rRNA from 1 species
UACGUAGGGUGCAAGCGUUAAUCGGAAUUACUGGGCGUAAAGCGAACGUAGGCGGUGUUCCAUGUCAGAGGUGAAAGCCUGGGGCUCAACUCCAGAAUUGCCUUUGAAACGGGGACGCUUGAGUCCGAGAGAGGAUGGCGGAAUUCCUAGUGUAGAGGUGAAAUUCGUAGAUAUUAGGAAGAACACCGGUGGCGAAGGCGGCCAUCUGGCUCGGUACUGACGCUCAGGUUCGAAAGCGUGGGGAGCAAACAGG